AUUGAACGCUGGCGGCAGGCCUAACACAUGCAAGUCGAACGAGUGGCGGACGGGUGAGUAAUGUAUGGGGAACUGCCCGAUAGAGGGGGAUAACUACUGGAAACGGUGGCUAAUACCGCAUACUAUCGGAUGCACCCAGAUGGGAUUAGCUAGUAGGUGGGGUAAAGGCUCACCUAGGCGACGAUCCCUAGCUGGUCUGAGAGGAUGACGAGCCAGACUGGAACUGAGACACGGCCCAGACUCCUACGGGAGGCAGCAGUGGGGAAUAUGGCGCAAUGGGGGCAACCCUGACGCAGCCAUGCCGCGUGUAUGAAGAAGGCCUUCGGGUUGUAAAGUACUUUCGGUAGCGAGGCGUUACCUACAGAAGAAGCACCGGCUAACUCCGUGCCAGCAGCCGCGGUAAUUC
rnacentral:rRNA from 1 species